AUUGAACGCUGGCGGCAGGCCUAACACAUGCAAGUCGAGCGAGCGGCGGACGGGUGAGUAAUGUAUGGGGACUGCCCGAUAGAGGGGGAUAACUACUGGAAACGGUGGCUAAUACCGCAUACUAUCGGAUAACCCAUAUGGGAUUAGCUAGUAGGUGGGGUAAAGGCUUACCUAGGCGACGAUCUCUAGCUGGUCGGCGAGGAUGAUCGGCGACACUGGGACUGAGACACGGCCCAGACGCCUACGGCGGACGCAGUGGGGAAUAGUGCACUAUGGGCGCAAGCGUGAUGCAGCCAUGCCGCGUGGAUGAAGAAGGCCUUAGGGUUGUAAAGUACUUUCAGCGGGGAGGCGUUAGCUGCAGAAGAAGCACCGGCUAACUACGUGCCAGCAGCCGCGGUAAUAC
rnacentral:rRNA from 1 species